UACAGAGGUCUCAAGCGUUGUUCGGAUUCAUUGGGCGUAAAGGGUGCGUAGGUGGUGAUGCAAGUCUGGUGUGAAAUCUCGGAGCUCAACUCCGAAAUUGCACCGGAUACUGCGUGACUCAAGGACUGUAGAGGAGAUCGGAAUUCACGGUGUAGCAGUGAAAUGCGUAGAUAUCGUGAGGAAGACCAGUUGCGAAGGCGGGUCUCUGGACAGUUCCUGACACUGAGGCACGAAGGCCAGGGGAGCAAACGGG
rnacentral:rRNA from 1 species